rnacentral:rRNA from 1 species
GAUCCUGGCUCAGGAUGAACGCUAGCUACAGGCUUAACACAUGCAAGUCGAGGGGCAGCAUGGUCUUAGCUUGCUAAGGCCGAUGGCGACUGGCGCACGGGUGAGUAACACGUAUCCAACCUGCCGUCUACUCUUGGACAGCCUUCUGAAAGGAAGAUUAAUACAAGAUGGCAUCAUGAGUUCACAUGUUCACAUUAUUAAAGUAAUUCCGGUAGACGAUGGGGAGUG